rnacentral:tRNA from 1 species
GCCCGCAUGGUGAAAUCGGUAGACACAAGAGACUUAAAAUCUCUCGACCUUUUGGUCGUCCCAGUUCGACUCUGGGUGCGGGCACCA